rnacentral:misc_RNA from 1 species
AUAAUGUUGAGAACAGUGCAGU